rnacentral:ncRNA from 1 species
CGGUGAGAAGGGCAAACCCAUCGAAAGGUGGGGACGCAAAGCCACCGGGCUAAAGCGCCGAAAAGCGCCACGCCAGCGGGGUUGCCGGC